rnacentral:rRNA from 1 species
UACGGAGGGUGCAAGCGUUAAUCGGAAUUACUGGGCGUAAAGCGCACGCAGGUGGCUGAGAAAGUCGAUUGUGAAAGCCCUGGGCUUAACCUGGGAAUUGCAGUCGAAACUACUCGGCUAGAGUAUGGGAGAGGACAGUGGAAUUCCCGGUGUAGCGGUGAAAUGCGUAGAUAUCGGGAGGAACAUCGGUGGCGAAGGCGCUCUACUGGACCACAACUGACACUCAGGGACGAAAGCUAGGGGAGCGAAUGGG